GAUGAACGCUGGCGGCGUGCCUAACACAUGCAAGUCGAACGGACAGACGCGGAGCUUGCGCCGUUGCCGUUAGCGGCGGGCGGGUGAGUAACGCGUGGAUCACCUACUUCUCUUACUGGGAUGACUUCGGAACACGGGAGCUAAUCCCGGAGCAUAUAUUGUACCGCAUGAUUCAGUAGAGAAUGACGGUUUGGCUGUCACUUAUAGCUGGAUCCGCGCCGCAUUAGCUAGUUGGUAAGGUAACGGCCUACCAAGGCGACGAUGCGUAGCCGGCCUGAGAGGGUGAUCGGCCACACUGGAACGGAGACACGGUCCAGACGCCUACGGGAGGCAGCAGUAGGGAAUCUUGCGCAAUGGGCGAAAGCCUGACGGAGCAACGCCGCGUGAGUGAUGAAGGCCUUCGGAUCGUAAAGCCCUGUUAUGAGGGAAGAACAAAUGUGGAAGUAAAUAAGGCCGUCUUGACGGUACCUAAAGAGAAAGCAACGGCUAACUACGUG
rnacentral:rRNA from 1 species